GCGAAGCUAUUUGGAUCGAAAGCACACAGAGCGCUAGGGAGGAGAGCUGGGCACUCAUGCUGAGCCACCACCUGGUGGUAUUGCCACCCGUUCGACUGCAGAGACCAGCAAGCAGUGAGCAGGCAGAUCCCGGCACAAAUGUGGGUCACUUGACUGCACAUGUGGGGUUGAAAGAGUUAAUUGUAAGCCCCCCCCUUAGUUCUCCCAUGCAAGAAAUGUGGUUUUCAAAUACUUUUUGCAGUACUCGAGCAGGACACCCCCAUUCCUCAGAUGCUGGGAACUAGAGAGAAGUUAUAACCCCCUCAAAGAGGUUAUUUUUCCUAAUUCUAACCAUUUCUGUAGCAUUCACUACUGUAGCACUAGCACGUGACUUCCUGAUUAUUCCCAAUCCAUUCUUGACUGCAGCUUUAUUUUUACCCCGGAGCCAGACUUUAACUCACAACCUGAUUUCUGAUUUCGCCUCUUAUAAUGACCUGGUCUCAGCCACUCCCAAGCUGCUGGUGAGCGCCCUGAUUUAAUCGGGGGUCGAAACUGCAUCAUCAUAUAACUGUAAGUCACUUAGAAACCUCGCGGUCCUCGCAAAUGCGGAGCAAGCUAUUCGCAGCGAAGGACGGCCGAGAUUUUGCAAGGAUUAGGUGUCUGGUGCUAUGACCCGGCUUGCGUAAUUAGGCAUUUGAUUGCAAAUUGUUCCCAGGAUCCAGGGGCCGGGAGUGUAUCCCUAGUAAUGAAAGGGGAAAUGAUGGAGGAAUAACACUCCGGCCAGGGGGAAUUGGCAUAGCAGGAUUUUGUGUUGCUCACCUCCUGUCCAGGUGGGGCUGGCCCCCAUGGCUGCAAGGCUCUACGUCCUGAUCAGCUGGCCGGAUGGCAGCCGCGUGAUCAACAUCGAGAACAUCAAGGAGCCCCGGAAGCCGUUCCACCUCUACGCCGUUGGGGAGCAGGUGCUGGCCCGCUGCCCUGGCUUCAGUGGUUUGUACUGGGGGGUCGUGGAAGGCAUCAGUGAGCAGAAGGAUAUUUUAGAGAAGAGGCUGCAGGAAGAUAGACAGCUGCUGGAGAAGUUAAAGGAAGAGCCCGCCGUGCACCACGUGCUGUCUCCUUCCCUUAAGAAAUCGAGGAAGACUUUUCCCAAGUGGACCCCAGGAACCCCCUUGAGGAAGUACGCUGGCAACAGGGCCUUCCACGUCAAGUCGUCACUCAGGGCGGACGAUGCGGGUGUCCGGCACGAGGAGGCAGCCUCGUUGCUCAUAAAGGAGAGAUCCAGCCUGGGCAGCAACCCCGGGCCCCACUGCGCAGUGUCGGUGCCUCGCCAUGGUUCAAGUGCCUUCAACCCAGCAUCUCCAUUCGUCAGCCUGGCUGAGCCUGGGACGUCCCAAAAUGAAGAAGCAAGGCCCGCCACAGCAAGCAGAGAUUAUGUCACCCUGGCAGUGAAGAGGAAGUCGGAUGGUAUUAUAGCUCAGUGCCAGCAACGUCUCUGUGCAAACAGCUGUGAUGAACCAAAGAUGGAAGCGUCUCAGGAGACAGAGGAUUUUGAGGUCGUUCAGCAAAAUGUUGGCUCCAGUGCAAUGGAAAGGGUACAAAAGAUUGAGCAACUGGAGAGGAUCGUCUUGGACCUGCAGCAAGAGGUCCUGUCCCUGAAGCGGAAAGUGCAACGGCUGGAAUCGCUCUCCUUCCAGGAAGAGCCCCACCGGCAGCCCUGCGAGGUGGUGGAGCUGUUUAAUGGCUACACGAAGGAGCAGCUCAAAGAAGCCAUCCGCUUCGACCAGAAAAUCAGCACCGCCUGCAAAACCCUCCUCUACAAGCUCUUCACGUCCGACUAUAUCCAGAGCCACUCCAUCACCGGGCGGAGAGGCAACACCUUUCGCGAGGCCAAGCCCAUGAUGGAUGAGCGAUGCAUCAAAAUCAUUCGGGUUCUGCUCAAGCAAAAGUUUGGGGAUCACCUGAGCGACACGGUCAUCACGGAGAAAAUCCAGAAUGUGCAAAAAGCCCUGCGGCAGAAAUUUAAGACCGAAUGUCUCUGAUGCACGUGGGAUUUGAUGCCUCUGUUUCCAAGAAGGGUCGCUGCUUGGAACGCAACGUGCGGAGGAGCCUUUUCGAGAAACACGGGGCUCGAAUUUGUUGUUUUGCUGCUUUGGCCUCAGGAGGACUGGUGAAAAUGAAGUGAAAUGCUUGCUAGACACAGCACAAAAUAUUCAUGGCCAGGCCUCUGUCGGCAGACACACAGCAGGAAGUGUCAUUCGGCUCCGUGGAAUUUUCCAAGCCUGGCCGGGCUCUGGAGUCUUCCCCUCCUUGCUCCUCUUGCCAAUCUUUUUGCAAAAUUGUUGUUCCCUUUAUGAAGGUCCUGGCCAGGAGGCCCCUCCAAAUCAUGCUUGAAGACCUCGGUUCUCAACGUGGCUGCAGAUCUCAUUAGAAACAGACCAUAGGCUGGCAACAAGGAGAGGACCAAGCCACUGCUCACCGAAAAGGUCACUGUAGUUUUUCUAAUGCACCUGGCGGCAAGAUGCAUGUUCGACAUGGAUGCUUGAGAUGGGUCAGACCCGGGGGGAAAAAACCUCUCGGGGAAAUAAAUACAACUCAGAUGAAAGGAAUGACCUUGAAUUGUAUAUGGAACUGGCUACACCCCGAUUUAUUCCAUCUCCACCUGGGAAUGACGCCCCCCUUUCAUUCAACCUUGCUUUUCUCCUCUCUGCUGCAGCCUCCAGGUUUUGCCAAGGCUAUAAUAACCCACUGGAACAAAAUCAGCUCCCCUGGCUUCCAAAUAGUGCAUUUUAGAAUUUCCUGUGAUUAUAGGAUGGAGGGCUCAAUAAAGCAACUCAAUAAAACAUUAGCA